CGAACGGGUGAGUAACGCGUGAGCAAUCUACCUUAGUUACAGGGAUAGCCCGAGGAAACUCGGAUUAAUACCUGAUAUUCUUUACAUUUCGCAUGAAAUCAAAAGGAAAGGUCAGCCGAACUAAGAUGAGCUCGCGUUCUAUCAGCUAGUUGGUGAGGUAAAAGCUCACCAAGGCAACGACGGAUAGCUGGUCUGAGAGGACGAUCAGCCACACUGGGACUGAGACACGGCCCAGACUCCUACGGGAGGCUGCAGCAGGGAAUAUUGCGCAAUGAGCGAAAGCUUGACGCAGCGACACCGCGUGUGGGAUGACGGAUCUAGGUUUGUAAACCACUUUCAGGAGGGAAGAAAAUGACGGUACCUCCACAAGAAGCCCCGGCCAACUACGUGCCAGCAGCCGCGGUAAUACGUAGGGGGCGAGCGUUGUCCGGAUUUAUUGGGCGUAAAGAGCUCGUAGGCGGUUCAACAAGUCGGUCGUAAGAGUUCAGGGCUCAACCCUGAAAUGUCGAUCGAUACUGUUGUGACUAGGAUACGGUAGAGGUGAGUGGAAUUCCGAGUGUAGCGGUGAAAUGCGUAGAUAUUCGGAGGAACACCAAUUGCGAAGGCAGCUCACUGGGCCGCUAUCGACGCUGAGGAGCGAAAGCUAGGGGAGCAAACAGGAUUAGAUACCCUGGUAGUCCUAGCUGUAAACGAUGGAUAC
rnacentral:rRNA from 1 species